rnacentral:lncRNA from 1 species
CUUCUGGAGCUGCUGCUUGAAGCAACUAGUUGGCUUUGUCCUUGGGGAAACCUGUCGAGCCUUUCUGUCUCAUUAUCUCUCAGAGUUUUCUCCUAAUGGAAUAGGACGAUGGACCUUAAUGGUUUAUCCUUCUUUCCCCAUCCCCUCUCCUCAGAGAGUGCUUCUUGAAUUAAAAACAGGUAGGAGAUCAGUCUUCAUGUAGAAGUGUUUCUUCCUUUUUUAUCUUUUUUAUUCUCCUCCUUUUUUUUUUUUUUGAGACAGAGUCUCACUCUGCUGCCCAGGCUGCAGCGCAAUGGCAUGAUUUCAGCUCACUGAAACCUCUGCAUCCUGGGUUCAAGCAAUUCUUAUGUCUCAGCUUCCCGAGUAGCUGGGAUUACAGGCAUUCGCCACCAUGCCCGGCAAAUAUUUUUUUUUCUGUAUUUCUUAGGAGAGACGGGGUUUUGCCAUGUUGGCCAGGCUGAUCUCAAGCUCCUGACCUCAGGUGAUCCACCCAUCUUGGCCUCCCAAAGUGCUGAGCCACUGUAUCCGGCCUAUUCCCCUGCCUUUUGUUAUUAUUUUAGUUCUAGGGAAAAUAUUUUCCCUAGCACCAAAAUAAUUUUGGGUCAGUAUUGCAGAGAUAAAUUUUAAAGCCAUGUUUUAUAUAUCUUUAGUAUGAAAAGAAAUUAUUUACUAUUUGCCCUUUUCUCAGUAGGAAUAUCAUUAUUCAGAUGACAGAAAGGUAUGGCCUUUCACCUCAUUUUACAGAUAUUUUGAAACCUCUUUUUGCUUCUCUAAAGGAGAAGUUCAAGGAGCAAAGGAAUUUGCUUAUUUAAUUUGUUUUUUUAUAGCUAUGGAAUAGAACCAUUUAAAGAACAGCGGCCAGGCAUGGUGGCUCACACCUAUAAUCCCAGCACUUUGGGAGGUCGAGGCAGGAGAAUCACUUGAGCCCAGGAGUUU